AACGAACGCUGGCGGCAUGCCUAACACAUGCAAGUCGAACGAGAUCUUCGGGUCUAGUGGCGCACGGGUGCGUAACGCGUGGGAAUCUGCCCUUUGGUUCGGAAUAACAGUUGGAAACGACUGCUAAUACCGGAUGAUGACGAAGGUCCAAAGAUUUAUCGCCAGAGGAUGAGCCCGCGUAGGAUUAGCUAGUUGGUGUGGUAAGGCGCACCAAGGCGACGAUCCUUAGCUGGUCUGAGAGGAUGAUCAGCCACACUGGGACUGAGACACGGCCCAGACUCCUACGGGAGGCAGCAGUGGGGAAUAUUGGACAAUGGGCGAAAGCCUGAUCCAGCAAUGCCGCGUGAGUGAUGAAGGCCUUAGGGUUGUAAAGCUCUUUUACCCGGGAUGAUAAUGACAGUACCGGGAGAAUAAGCUCCGGCUAACUCCGUGCCAGCAGCCGCGGUAA
rnacentral:rRNA from 1 species